UCCCUGGUGGUCUAUUGGUUAGGAUUUGGAGCUUUCACUGCCAUGGCCCAGGUUCAAUCCCUGGUCUAGGAA
rnacentral:tRNA from 1 species